AAAAAGAAGAAGACUACCAUCACCCCAGAAACACUCUUACCCCUCCAGCCACCACACUUACUCUCCUUCCCAAAGCAACACCUUACUAUCCAUUCUGCUGUGGGCAUUUGGACUCCAUCCAGCUGUGAGCUGUUGUUAAUGCUGCUAUGGAGAUCUUAGAACUGACCUGAGCAAACACCUUCUCGGCGGGAGAACUGGACAUCAGUCAGGAAGUUACUGGAGUGUGAUGUCUCGCGAGCUUCGCGUUUGAGCCCUGGGAAAUGUGCCCCAUGUAAACGUCCCGGCAUUCCCGCAGGUGCCCUCGGUGGAGUCUGGAAGAACUCGGCUGGUAGCCUUGCGGGGGCUUUGAUGCAGAAGAAAGCGUUUGUGCGGCUUCCCGGUGAAGUCUGGAAGCAGGCUCAUUUCCCUUCCGUGAGAAGCCCCGGGUGAUUAUGAGCGCACGGCACCUGGUGCUUCCCAGCGCUCUUCCGGCCGGGCACACGGCUCUGCUCUGGAACCCGUUCUCCGUGGUGACUGCGCUGUGUUGCAGUCCCUUCCUGACCGGCUGCCCUGCUGUCUGGAUCCAAGCCAGGGCACCUGACUCAGCCCGCGAUGCGCCCGGAAGGCAGCUUUCAAAGCACAGGAUUUCUUAGAAAUUUCUUGGAAAUCCGGAGAGUUUGGUUUCAAUGAACAAAACUUUCCAGAUUGCUUCCACCUUGAUUUUACCACGUGACCCGGUCCUGGGGUGCCCCUGGGCUUGAAGGUUUCUUGUGAAAACCAGGCCCGCUUCGGCUUGCUGCCAGCAGGAGUUGACCAGGACUUCCAGAUGGCCGGGAUGGGCCAGGCUGCCGACAGGGCUCUGUCUUCUCUCCACACUUUGAGUCCUGUAGCUGCUUGAUCUUCUCCAGGGCUCCCGGGCACCUUGAGAGUACAGAGACACAGAGGCCUCUUGGGUCACGUGCAUUAUAUCUUUGCACUUAGAUGACAAACGAUGACGUCUUUCACUUCAUCUUUUUCCGGAUCCUAGUGCUCCAAACAGAGUAGCUGCCACCCUAGCUUGUUGCGUUUAGAGAACUUACCCCGUGCCGCUGUUUCUCUCAUUCAGAAAGACUGUUUUGCCAGGAGAGAGCGAAACACACGCACACACACACACAGAAGAGCACCGUCUACCAAGGAAAGAACUAUAUUAACUGGGCAUUUAGAAUUGACUGGAGAGUGGGCAAAAAAAGCUUCUCCAGAAAGGACAUUCAACCAUCUUUUGGACAUCAGCCUACUACUAUCUAUUCAUGAGGAAAUCCUAUUCAUCGGGGCCAGUGUUGUGGUGUAGUGGAUAAAGCUGCCACCUGCAACACCAGCAUCCCCUGUGAGUGCUGGUUCAUGUCCCGGCUGCUCCACUUCCCAUCCGGCUCCCUGCUAAUGGCCUGGGAAAAGCAGCAGACGAUGGCCCCAGUAUUCGGGCUCCAACCCCAUGUGGGAGACCCAGAUGAAGCGCCCGGCUCUUGGUUUUGGCCUGGCUCUGCCCUGACUAUUGCUUUAUGGAAGAUCUCUGUCUCUCCAUCUUUCUCUCUGUAACUCUGCCUUUCAAAUAAAUAAAUGUUAAAAAUAA